GCUGUAGCUCAGGGGUAGAGCAUCUGCUUUGCAUGCAGAAGGCCCCAGAUUCAACCCCCAGCAUCUCCA